GCGACCUUCUCUUCRGAGCAAUGUGACARGUGGUGCAWCGUUGUCGUCAGCUCGUGCGUUGAGAUGUUGGGUUAAKUCCCGCAACGAGCGCAACCCUUAUCUUUAGUASCCWKCAUUUUMAKAUGGGCACUCUAGAGAGACUGCCAGGGAUAACCUGGAGGAAGGUGGGGAUGACGUCAAAUCAUCAUGCCCCUUAUGACUUGGGCUACACACGUGCUACAAUGGCGUAAACAAAGAGAAGCAAGACUGUGAAGUGGAGCAAAUCUCAAAAAUAACGUCUCAGUUCGGAUUGUAGUCUGCAACUCSACUACAUGAAGCUGGAAUCGCUAGUAAUCGCGAAUCAGAAUGUCGCGGUGAAUACGUUCCCGGGUU
rnacentral:rRNA from 1 species